ACUGGCCUCGAUUAGCCAUGCACGUCUUAGUACAAACUAAAUAGAUGGUGAAACUUGCAAAUGGGCUCAUUACAACGGUUAUGAUGUACCCGGGAGUUCCGAUGGAUAUUUCCAGUAACACUAGAACUAAUACAUGUCCCUGCGUUUAUUAGUUUCGCACAGUCCGUCGCUGAGUCAUGGUAAACAGUUGAUCGACUCGACGUCCCGGAACAGUUUCCGCCCCAUCAGCUUCGAUGGUUGGGUAUUGGCCUACCAUUGCAACAACGGGUAACAAGGAAUUAGGGUUUGAUUUCGGAGAGGGAGCCUGAGAAACGGCUACCACAUCUACGGAUGGCAGCAGGCGCGCAAAUUACCCAAUGCAGACACUGUGAGGUAGUGACGAGAAAUAAUAAAGCGGGACUUCUGUUUCGCUAUUAUAAUGAGGAAUAACCAAAGGUCAUUCCGAUUAGCAACUGAUGGGAAAGUCUGGUGCCAGCAGCCGCGGUAAUACCAGCGUCAGU
rnacentral:rRNA from 1 species